CCUUUACCACAUCAGAGUGAGUCAUAUUAGUCAUCUAUUUCUUCAGAAAAGUCAUGACAUAGCAGUGCUGACUGGAUGAACCACAAAUUAAUGAACCUUCUGAGCUAUUCAAGAUUUUUCUUCUGCUGGAUAUUUCAUAUAAAUGGAGUUGUAUGGAGCUUUUACCAGCCAAGAACCAACAGACAUCUGGAAAAAAACAUAAUGGAGGGAUGAUGUAAACAGAAAUUUUUGUUCAUUUAUUUGAAUUGGGUGGGAACUGGCUAGUAUCUUAUUUUAGAAGGAAGGACUUUGGUCCAGCUCAAGGAACACCAGGACUGGGUAGGUCAUGCUUGAUGAACCAUAGUGAUUUGGGGGGACUCAUUUUUGCAUAACCAUUUGUUAUGCACUAAUUCUGAAGAGUCAAUCACUAUAUUUGCUUUGGAUUUUUUCCCCUCAAAGCCAAGGUGAAGGCCCACCUCUCAGAAUGGCAGUGAUAUCUUUCUCAGCAUAGUGCAGCUUUGGUACAGAGACAGGGAGCAUGAUGUGUUUUCUGGAGGUGAGGCUUGGCCUGUGUUUGAAAUUUUGGUGUAAGUAUCUUGCUCCAGAUUGUGCUGGAAUUGCUGGAGAUUAAAGCUGAGAUCUGAUUAGGGUCCAGAAGUAGAUGCAGAACCCAUGGCGGUACUUUGUGAUCUGGAGAGUGGGAUCUGGGAUUUUGUGGUCCAUAGUCAGGGCUUUGGGGCCCACUUCCUCUGCUAGAGUCUAUGCUGAAUAUUCUGUGAGUGCAGAACAAGGAGCAGAACAUGCUUCCUCUCCUCAGUGAGCUGCUAGAGGAGAAAAGUUGGAGUCUGUUAGGAACUGACCUUAGGAAUCUCCCAGGUUGAUGGGAGGGUCCCUGGUGCAAGCACACACACAUACACAGGCACACGUUUGUGCACACAGUCAGUGUCUGGCACCAUUAACACGUCAUUUCAUUUCUUUCCUCUUCUGACCUCUUUUUCUCUUUAUUUCCAAAUAUCCUAUCCAAUGCCUCCCUGGAGCACCCCUGAGGGCACCGCAGACUCUGCACUGGUCCCUGGCUGAAGUGCGUGCGGUGGGUGCCCUGCCGCUCUCGUCCUCUGCUGCAAAUGCUUCACCGAUGUCUCCCUUUCAGCCCUGGGAACCUGCUCAUCAGGAAAGUGACCCUGCACUGCUGGCAGACUCAGACUUCUUGCCUCCUGGUUGGAUCAGUGCCAAAACAAACUGACUUGCUUGUUUCCCCAUCCUAUCCUGCUCCCCUGGCUCUUCUUCUGAGAAUGUGCUCCCCACAGAUCACUGGAACAGAAUCCCUAUCAGGCCCUAGGAAGGUGGGCCUAGAGUGGACUCCAUGCUCAUACCUUCCGUCUGUGCUCUCUUCAACUAGGACCUAGCCCUCCUUAAAUUGCCAGUUCUCCUGGAUGCAAA